ensembl:lncRNA
CGGAGAGGCUGUCCAAAAUAAAGACAAUGUUGGAUAACACCUCCCACCCACUCCAUGACAUGCUGGUCAGUCACAGGAGCACGUUCAGUGAGAGACUGAGAUUACCGAAAAGCACCACUGAAUGACACAGGAAAUCAUUCCUGCCUGUGGCCAUCUCACUGUACAACGCAUCCACUUAACACACUGUUUACUGCCACAACUACACGGUUCUUUCCCGCUAUUUAUUAUUGUGACUUAUAGAUCUAUAGAUAUAUAGAGAUAUAGAUAGAUAUAGAUAGUUAUAGAUAGAUAUAUAGUUAUUGAUAGAUCUAUAGAUAUAGAGAGAGAGAGAGAUAGAUGGAUAGAUAUAUAUAUAUUUUAGUACUAUUCUUAGUUAGCGUGUUGUCUGUUUUGUUAAUGUUGGUGUAUAAUGGAGCACUGUAACAAAGAAAUAAUUUCCCCCAGGGAUCAAUAAAGUAUUCUGAUUCUGUUCAUCUGGAAUGAUGAUGGAGUCUUGAGCAAUUUGGGCUUUCAGGUAUUUCUUGCACCUUUCUGAGGGAAGAGGGGCUCCAGAACUGUCAUCACCUUCUGCCUCACUGAGGGCCACAACAGUGAUAGCACGCAGUCCCACUGACAUAUCAUCUUGAUGCAGUGCGCAACAUCAACCCUGAUAAAACAUGGGGGGAGUUUGGCAGACUGGGUUCCAAGAAGGACAUGAAAGCAUUCAUUAAGUAGUGACAGAAAAACCUGUCCAGUCCAAUAUCACGGAUGCUACCACUAGUGGCCAAAUUUGGAAGGUGGCUUGGCUCAGGAUCUCCAACAUCCAUCAGAUCUGCUGCCUUCGCUGACCUCCAUACAGCCGGUUCCAUUCUGCCCUCUCACAGCUCUUUAGAGAUCUGUUCACGCAGGUUUCCAGACAUGAACCGCUUGGAGUGGCCAGUGUGCAGGGAGAGAUCUGUAUUUCUCAUGAAACACUGGAGCACCAUUGGACUAUUAAUUGCUGGCUGUCUGUCACAUGACAU